AACGAACGCUGGCGGCAGGCUUAACACAUGCAAGUCGAGCGCCCCGCAAGGGGAGCGGCAGACGGGAGAGUAACGCGUGGGAAUCUACCCAUCUCUACGGAAUAACGCAUGGAAACGUGUGCUAAUGCCGUAUACGUCCUUCGGGAGAAAGAUUUAUCGGAGAUGGAUGAGCCCGCGUUGGAUUAGCUAGUUGGUGGGGUAAAGGCCUACUAAGGCGACGAUCCAUAGCUGGUCUGAGAGGAUGAUCAGCCACACUGGGACUGGGACACGGCCCGGACUCCUACGGGAGGCAGCAGUGGGGAAUAUUGGACAAUGGGCGCAAGCCUGAUCCAGCCAUGCCGCGUGAGUGAUGAAGGCCCUAGGGUUGUAAAGCUCUUUCACCGGUGAAGAUAAUGACGGUAACCGGAGAAGAAGCCCCGGCUAACUUCGUGCCAGCCGCCGCCGUAAAAC
rnacentral:rRNA from 1 species